UACGUAGGGUGCAAGCGUUGUCCGGAUUUAUUGGGCGUAAAGAGCUCGUAGGCGGUUUGUCGCGUCUGCUGUGAAAACUCGGGGCUUAACUCCGGGCCUGCAGUGGGUACGGGCAGACUAGAGUGCGGUAGGGGAGACUGGAAUUCCUGGUGUAGCGGUGAAAUGCGCAGAUAUCAGGAGGAACACCGGUGGCGAAGGCGGGUCUCUGGGCCGUAACUGACGCUGAGGAGCGAAAGUGUGGGGAGCGAACAGG
rnacentral:rRNA from 1 species